AAAGGAGACGAGAUUAAAAAACAAAUAAGCGGAGUCAUCUGUUAAAAGUCCAAGGAUGAGGCAGGAAAACGUCACCAAACCUAACAGGAUCAGAACUGGAUUGUGUCUCUGCACUUUAGCUUCUGUUGUUGAGCUUUAACUUGAAUUUCUUUAGGCCACACUUAAUCAUAAAGCACGCACUUGUUACUAGUUAUGGAGAACAUUAUCUGGACACUGCUUAUUCAUCUGGAAUAGGUUUACAUUUAGCAUGUAUGGAAUUUACUUCUGUGCCAAUUAAAGUGAAUGUGUAAUAUAAUUUGAAUAAAAUGUAAUUGAAACUGAUAAAAAAAAAAUGCAGGCAUAAUCUUUGACUCUGUUUUCAAUAAACUGCAUGUUUUGCAACA